AGCGAACGCUGGCGGCAGGCCUAACACAUGCAAGUCGAACGAACUCUUCGGAGUUAGUGGCUGCUGGGGGGGUAAACGGUUGGAACGCGCCUUUAUGAUCGGCAUAACUCAGGGAAACUAGUGCUAAUACCGAAUGUGACCUCCGGGGGAUAGAUUUAUCGCCAUUAGAGCGUCCCGCGUCUGAUUUGCUGGUUGGUGAGGUCAAGGCACACCUAGGCGACGAUCAGUAGCUGGUCUGAGAGGAUGAUCAGCCACAUUGGGAACGAGACACGGCCCAAACUCCUACGGAAGGCAGCAGUGGGGAAUCUUGCGCAAGGGGCGAAAGCCUGACGCAGCCAUGCCGGGGGAAUCAUGAAGGUGUUAGGAUUGUAAAAUUCUUUCACCGGAGACGAUAAUGACGGUACCCGGAGAAGAAGCCCCGGCUAACUUCGUG
rnacentral:rRNA from 1 species